rnacentral:rRNA from 1 species
AAACUUUCAACAACGGAUCUCUUGGUUCUGGCAUCGAUGAAAAACGCAGCGAAAUGCGAUAAGUAAUGUGAAUUGCANAAUUCAGUGAAUCAUCGAAUCUUUGAACGCACAUUGCGCCCGCCAGUAUUCUGGCGGGCAUGCCUGUCCGAGCGUCAUUUCAACCCUCGAACCCCUCCGGGGGGUCGGCGUUGGGGAUCG